UCCGUGUUGGUCCAGUGGUUAGGAUUUUGGUCUCUCACGCCGACGGCCCGGGUUCGAAUCCCGGACGCGGAA
rfam:Anncaliia algerae PRA339 unplaced genomic scaffold supercont2.15, whole genome shotgun sequence.